UGUAAAAAUAGAAUUUGGUACAUUGAGUGGAAAUUAAUUUAAGGUACUUAAGGAGGAAACUAGUCUUGGGUGAGUAUUUAUUGAUUUAAUAAUUGCGUUGAUUUUUGCUUUUCAGGUACGUUUUGUGAGGGCUAAGUUGGAGGCCCA